UCAAGCUUAACUCAUUCGCCCCCAAUCUCGCCUGUAGUCGUGAUAAAUAUAUACCACUCACAGGCCGAUUACGACUACAGUCUGGUUUGUUUGCCUAGUUCAAUGGCCGAUCCCGUCUGUACUCGUGGUCGACACCACUCUGAAAAAACCGCUCCGAUUGGUUAUUUCUUAGGGGAUUUCCAGAAUUUAAAGAAUACUGUCCAAAAGAAAAGGGUUUAACAAUUCAUUGUGUGAAAUUUAUUUAUUCUAAGUGCAAAGGUUAUGCCGUAUUUAGACAUUCUUGUUACACGUAUGUACGCACCGUUUUCAAUAAAAAUGUUAAAACAAUGGCUGAAAUUUUCGAUAGUAGCGAGAGUGAAAGUGAGUUUAAUGGCUUUGAAUUACGUGAUAUAAAUGCUGCAAAAGAAAGAUAUUUG
rnacentral:lncRNA from 1 species